AAAAAACAAGACAUCAGUAUUGCCGAGUAUUUGCUAGUACCUGUUCCCAAGCUAAGAUCUCUCAUUGAAGUUGGAGCUCACUGAUUCCACUAGACUGUCUGGUCAGCAAGCAAUCACCAGGAAUCACCUGUAACCGUAUCUGCCUGCCGUGACACUCACUGCCGCCUUGAAUUAUCUAUCUAUCUAUCUAUCUAUCUAUCUAUCUAUCUAUCUAUCUAUUUAUCUUUUUAUUUUCACACAAGCAGUUGGGAAUAUAACUCAUAUCCUCAUGCCCACGCAUCAAGCAUGUUCCUAACUGAGCCAUCUCCCCAGCUCUUGGAGUUUCUGGGUUUGUUCGGAAGCCUUCUCCCUCCUCCAGAAAGAGGAGUGGAACAGGCACAUGUGAAUUCACUCUGUUGAGCCUAGAAGAGGUGAAAGAGAAAGGCUGCCCAUUUUCUAGAUGUUCCUCAUGAGCUAUAUGCGUGUACCACGAAGGCUUGCUUGGACCCAGAGCUAGGGCUGACCUAACUGAGAUGCUACCCAGGGGUUUCUGGCUCACUGUGGCCACCAUGGCUCCACAAACCACCUACUUAUAACAAAAUAAAAAAUUUUCUACAA
rnacentral:lncRNA from 1 species